UAUGAAGAUGAGCUGGUUAUGAAGAUGAGUUCGGAUCAGAAACACAAAAAUGGUGCGUGCCUCUGCAGAAUCUCAUUGAAGACGAUGAAGAUACGAAGGAUCUUGCAGGGAGAAUCGAUAGAUUCCAGAGGGAGAAUUCUCCUGAGUAUGUUGAUCGCGAUUGGUGGUAUAAAGACGAAGCUGAGCGAUAGAAUUGAAGUGUGAGUGUGGAGAUUGAAUGAAGAUGAAUGAAGUAGUGGAGGAGUGAUGAUGAUGAAGAUUUGCAGAGUGGGGAGUUGAAUUCGGUUAUGCUUUUCUAUGGUGAUGGAUCAAUGAAGGUGGAGGAAGAAGGUUAGAGCUGAGAGUGAUGAAGGUGUGAAUUUGUUGAGGAUGAAUGGAUGAAGUGAAGGAAGAGAAGAAGAGUAUGGUUCUGGUUUUAUAGAGUUCGCAGGGACUGUUUUCAAAUGGCUGGGACAUUGUUUGUGAUGUUUAUGUCAAAUGGAACUAUGAAGAAUGGUUCUAAAGAUGUGGAUUACUUGAUCAUAAAGCUAGUUAACAUUAUGGUGAAACUGAAGUGGAGUUAAUCAGGAAAAUUGGAGAAAAAGACAAAUGGGUUUUAUGGAGUCAGCUGUUGUUUUCUUUUUGUAGAGUUCUUUUUGUAUAGUUGAAUUUUGCAAUGGACUUGAAUUUUGUAAUGAAUUUGGAAUUU